AGGAGGGACUACCCAUGUCAGCAUGACAAAGCUCGCAUUUACGAAGUGAAGGAUCCGGCACCAAGGAAACCACGCUCAAUUGAUACUUUGUGCCCGAGUGUAGGAGCUAUGACCACCUACUGGACUGUUCCAGAAGAGAAGGACAGACCUUGUUUGGACUUCUUGAACAUCUAGACCAAGAACCUGAUCAGGUUCUUGCAGAGAGGAGGACAUACAGCAUCACCAUUAAUACCAGGAUCUCCUAAUGUAGUAAAUCAUGAGACAUGCCGCAUUCCAUUCCCAUGCAGAAUGCUUACUCACUGGUGUAGAAGGAAAUGUUUUCCGGAUUCAGGUCCCUACUACAUUUCACGGGGAAGACCUGGACAUUGUAGAGCAUGCCUGGGGUGAGGUUGCUAAGAGGCAUAUCCAGGGAGGUUGUGUGA